rnacentral:lncRNA from 1 species
AAGUGGGGGUCAUAGGGUCUCUGGAGGGUGUGUGAGAUGAGGCCUCCCUGUCCCUCUUCCCAGCCCUCACGUGUGGUCCUCAAGAGGCCACCUAAGGACCCAGGCGUGCUGUUAAUUGAGAGAGGACAGCAGCUCUGGCUGAGAUCAGGAUGCUCACCGUGGGUGGGGAGUUCCAGGGACUGGAGGCAGCAAGGGAGAUGUGGGGAGGCCACUGUGAGCAUCCUGUGGCCAGCCAGGCAGUGUCAGAGCUGGACGAGGCCGUGUGCUCAGCACUGGGGUGCAUCAAAGUCUCAUCCUACUGCAGAAGAAACUAAGCUCAGAGAGAUUUCCAGCUUCCUCAGAUCAUUGCUCAGAGCAGUGGAUCAAGAACAAGACCCCAGGAUGUCAGCACUAAGACUUCAGCACCAGUGUGGCAACCUCGGAACCAGCCUUGCUCACCUGUGCCUCAGUUUCCUACCAGUGGAUGAGGAUACUGUGUGUGUUACAGAUUUCUGAGGCUCCAGGGAGAUGUAGAGUGAGAGGAGCCUAGACGAACGUCCCCACACAGUCAGGGUCCAUGCACUUCAUUGUCAUCCUGCCAUUUGAAGACUGCCCCUUCCAGGACCAACUGGUCUCUGAGCUGGACUUUCCUUCCCAGUGACAUAGGACUCUAAAUGAUAUAUGGGAAAUAGCAUAACUCUCAACCUGUUAGAUUUCACAUACACCAAGUUUGUGUUCUCCAAAAUUAAACAAUGAAUUUUAAG